rnacentral:lncRNA from 1 species
UAGAGGUCUGAGACGGUGGCGAGUCUUGGGAUGCCUAAUCUUGAGUGAGGCUGGAGUUGAAGAAAAUCUGAUAUAUUUCCAUAAGGGGACCAAUUAUCGCUCCAAAAACGAGUAUGUCUUCCAUUUCCUAGCUUGACAUGAAUCCAAUUGUAGACCAAUGGCCUUAAGCGAAGAAAGCGCUUGACAAGCCAGGAAUGAUUAUUUGAUUCUUUGAUUAUCCAGAAAUUGGAGCGAUCGCCAGAUAGAAUUUCUUCAACAAACCAAGCUACCCAUAUUGAACCAGAGCUGAAGAACAAUAGCCAGAUGAGCC